GGCAAUGCCAGAGGUGAACAUUUCACUCCUCAAUGUCCCCCUUAUUGUUCCUCCUGAUUUAUUUUUAUUCUCAGAGUUUUAUUAGUGCUGUUGACUCUCCUGUGCUGACUACCUGCCCCUCCACAGUAAUUAAGCAUUAGCUAAUAUCUGCUCAUUGAAAACCAUAAAGAGAGCUUUAUUAUCAGGCAGGAAAAGACUCCAUUGAUUUAGAAGACAGUUCAGGUGGUAAUUUCCAUGCCACCUUAAAAAUCACUGCAAAGUGAUCUCUAGAAGUACAGCCUGAAUUUUUAUGCCAUUCCUGAACAUUGAAAAAAAAUGGAGACAAUGCAGAGAAACUUCAAAUUCCAAAUACAAACUUCCAUCCAAAGUCAGAACUGGUGAGGAACCAGACUUUACUGCCAUGUCCUUAAUCCACUGGGUUAAAGCUUUACAGUGAACAGAGUACUGAGCAGGACAGACCAGCACUUCAGAUUGCAGCCGCUCAAGGCAGUCAUCCCACUCCUCUCAGUGUUUGAAAUAAAUCCUU